UGUGGACAAACUUAGACGAGUCAUUAGUCUACACAAAAUAAUGCAGAAAAAAAAUGUCAUGAAGGACUUCAAUUAAUAAGUUAAUAAACAUAUCUGCAAACUGAAAUAAACUAACAUUACAUAACACAAUUAGUCACAAAAAUUUACAUACAGAGAGCAUGAAAAAAAAAAAGAAAAAGAAAAUCGAUAGCAUGAACAAUGCCCUGAAUUCAAAACAGAUUUGUUCAAGUAUUUUCAUACAGGUAGCAUGUUGCCUAUGAGGAGUAAGUACAAACUUUUUUUUCCCUUUACUCCUGCAUUAACAAAUAUAUGUUGUGACAUUUAUAAACCACUCCAUGUUUACUUACUGGUUAUCUUAUUUCCCUUGGAUUAAUAGGUUAUUUGCUAAUACUAAGAUUGAGGACUUUCUUCACACUUUUGAGCACACCCAAAUCGAAAUAAAAAAGAACCCAAUUUAAGGAAUCCAUCAUUUUCUCCCAAUCUUUGCAAAAUCAUCGCAUUCACCUAACCAAAUCCCUAAAAGCAGACCAGCAAUUUCCCAUAAACGCCAGAAACUCAAAACUAUUUAAAAAAAUAUUUCUGCAAGAACAUUACUUUGGCAAACUUUGUCUUCUACAAUUGAGCAAACCAGCUAAUUAUUCCUCCCAUUUCAAAUUUAAUGGGAAAACAAAAUACAACCCACUACAGAACAAGCAAUGCAAAUAUGUGAUUCAAGCACAAAACAUUGAAAAACCAUUCCAAAAGUACAGAAUGAGAGAAUGGAGCAGCUAGAAGAAGCAUACCUAAUGCACAAGCAAGAAAUCUGAGCAAAACCCAACUCACAGUCUGAGCUGUGCUUCCUCUAGUCCUCCUCCUCCACUCCCCUUUUCUGGAAAAAAAAAUAAAAAAUGAUUCUUUGAUUCAUCAGACGAUAAGCUCAAAAGAAAACAAACAAAAACUCCUCUUUCACCCUCAAUCUUUCACUCUCUCAGUCUUUCACUCUUUCAUCCCCUCUCUCUCUCUCUCUCUUCUCUCUCUCUCUCUCUCUCUCUCUCUCUCUCUCUCUCUCUCUCUUAAGUUUUUCGCACACCAAAAAAUAAAAUAAAAAGAAGAAAAUCAGGAAAAAAAUUUGAACGAAUCCUGGAAAGAAAAUCCAUCGCGGAGAAGAAAGAAACGCACAAGAAAUGAGCAGCCAAAUGCUGAUAUUCAUCGAGCACAUAGAUAAAAAAGCAGAAGAAGGAAUUUACCUAGCCGUAUGUGUGACGAGAGCUCUGGUUGAGAGAAGACAUGCGGCUGAGAGAAGAUAGAAAUGAGCUGGGUGAAAGAAAAAUAAGUCUAGGUUAAAAAAGGAUAAUCUUGAAAAUAAUGAAAGUAAGUGAGGGCAUAAAGGGAAAAAAAUUAUCAAGUGGAUUGCCCAAGCCACCCGGAAUCCCAAUAUCUUCUAUAUCUUAGGAAUCCAAAUCAGCCACAUUUUGGAAUUGGAUUCCAAAAUUUGUGUAGGACCCACUAAAUUUUGAUUCCCCCAGAUUUGGUAAACACCGGAGUAUGCCGUAAUCGGAAUUCAAUUCCGUUUCUUGAUUCUGAUGACCCUUACGUAAACGCGCUAUAAGAGUAAUACUAAUAAUUUAAACCAAGCGGCUAACAAUCCCAAUAAGAAAGGAUGCUAGUGAGAGUUUAAGUGUAUAAAAACACUUUCAGAGCAAUAAGAAGGUCUAGUUGCAGUCAAGUAGGACAAUUACUAAUAUACAACACCCGAAGGUGAAUCAUACUUUUUCGGAUUCUGUCAUAACACCGUUGGAUUCCUCGUGGCCACCAAACUCUGCUACCUAAAACCUGGAUGGGCGAAAAACAAAGUUGAGUGGGUCAGUAAAACACAUUUACAUGAAAAUCUUAUUUUCCUUUUAAUAUACUAACCCCUCACCGUAAAACAAGUAUAUAGAUACUUUCCCAGAAAAUAGAAUACAUAAAUAUGUAUAUACAUAUCUCAAAUCAUACUCAAAAUCAAGAUUCAUAUUUGAAUGUAUACCAUGCCUAUAUAUAAAACAUAAUAAGCAAUUUAGAUAAGAAUAAUUUCAUAGAAAUAUCACAUGUUAGCCGGAACCCCCAAGGUAGUCUAUACGGCUGGAUUCCAUAGCUUAAAAGUCACUCUAGCCGAAGUCCCCACAAUGACCUAUACGGCAACAUACUGCACAAUAGUCAAAACCAAAAGCAAGGGUAUGUACGACGAUAAUGGGUGUAAUAUAAUUAUGCUCAAUACUCAUCUCACAUAAUAGCCAGACG
rnacentral:lncRNA from 1 species